UGAGGAAUAUUGGGCAAUGCCCGCAAGGGUGACCCAGCAACGCCGCGUGGAGGAUGAAUGUCGUAAGAUUGUAAACUCCUGUUAGAGGGGAAGAAUAGUACCGGUUGGACCGGUAUAUGACUGUACCCUCAGAGAAAGCCCCGGCUAACUACGUGCCAGCAGCCGCGGUAAUACGUAGGGGGCAAGCGUUGUCCGGAUUUACUGGGUGUAAAGGGCGCGCAGGCGGGAUAAAAAGUCAGUGGUGAAAUCCUACAGCUUAACUGUAGAACUGCCUUGGAUACUUGUAUUCUUGAGUUCGGGAGAGAGAGACGGAAUUCCAGGUGUAGUGGUGAAAUACGUAGAUAUCUGGAAGAACACCAGUUGCGAAGGCGGUCUCUUGGUCCGACACUGACGCUGAGGCGCGAAAGCGUGGGGAGCAAACA
rnacentral:rRNA from 1 species